AAUAAGCGGAGGAAAAGAAACCAACAGGGAUUGCCUCAGUAACGGCGAGUGAAGCGGCAACAGCUCAAAUUUGAAAUCUGGCUCUUUCAGGGUCCGAGUUGUAAUUUGUAGAAGAUGUUUCGGGCGCGGGGCCGGUCUAAGUCCCUUGGAAAAGGGCGUCGCAGAGGGUGAGAAUCCCGUAUGUGACCGGUGACCAAGUCCAUGUGAAACUCCUUCGACGAGUCGAGUUGUUUGGGAAUGCAGCUCAAAAUGGGUGGUAAAUUUCAUCUAAAGCUAAAUACCGGCCAGAGACCGAUAGCGCACAAGUAGAGUGAUCGAAAGAUGAAAAGCACUUUGGAAAGAGAGUUAAAAAGUACGUGAAAUUGUUGAAAGGGAAGCGCUUGCAACCAGACCUGCCCGCGGACGCUCCACGGGGGUUCUCCCCCGCGCAUUCGUUCGUGAACAGGCCAGCAUCGGUUUUGGUGGCCGGAUAAAGGCCCCGGGAAUGUAGCUUCCCUCGGGAAGUAUUAGAGCCCGGGGUGCAAUACGGCCAAUCGGGACCGAGGAUCGCGCUUCGGCUAGGAUGCUGGCGUAAUGGCUGUAAGCGACC
rnacentral:rRNA from 1 species